rnacentral:tRNA from 1 species
GGGCUCAUAGCUCAGUUGGUUAGAGCACCUGACGCAUAAUCAGGGGGGCGGAGGAUCAUGCCCGUCUGGGCCCA